rnacentral:pre_miRNA from 1 species
CCUGAUCUCUCCUGGUGCAUAGAUUUGAUCCCUGCGUCUAGCACCAUUUGAAAUCAGUUU